rnacentral:rRNA from 1 species
AGGAAUAUUGGUCAAUGGGCGCAAGCCUGAACCAGCCAUCCCGCGUGAAGGAUGACUGCCCUAUGGGUUGUAAACUUCUUUUAUGUACCAAGAAUGUGUCCCUCGUGAGGGAUUUUGACGGUAGUACAUGAAUAAGCAUCGGCUAACUCCGUGCCAGCAGCCGCGGUAAUACGGAGGAUGCGAGCGUUAUCCGGAUUCAUUGGGUUUAAAGGGUGCGUAGGCGGCUUUAUAAGUCAGUGGUGAAAUCCUGCGGCUCAACCGUAGAACUGCCAUUGAUACUGUAGAGCUUGAAUACAGAUGAAGUAGGCGGAAUGAGUAGUGUAGCGGUGAAAUGCUUAGAUAUUACUCAGAACACCGAUUGCGAAGGCAGCUUACUAAACUGAUAUUGACGCUGAUGCACGAAAGCGUGGGGAGCGAACAGA